rnacentral:rRNA from 1 species
CCUACGGGCGGCUGCAGUGGGGAAUAUUGCACAAUGGGCGCAAGCCUGAUGCAGCCAUGCCGCGUGUGUGAAGAAGGCCUUCGGGUUGUAAAGCACUUUCAGCGGGGAGGAAGGCGUUAAGGUUAAUAACCUUGUCGAUUGACGUUACCCGCAGAAGAAGCACCGGCUAACUCCGUGCCAGCAGCCGCGGUAAUACGGAGGGUGCAAGCGUUAAUCGGAAUUACUGGGCGUAAAGCGCACGCAGGCGGUCUGUCAAGUCGGAUGUGAAAUCCCCGGGCUCAACCUGGGAACUGCAUUCGAAACUGGCAGGCUAGAGUCUUGUAGAGGGGGGUAGAAUUCCAGGUGUAGCGGUGAAAUGCGUAGAGAUCUGGAGGAAUACCGGUGGCGAAGGCGGCCCCCUGGACAAAGACUGACGCUCAGGUGCGAAAGCGUGGGAGCAAACAGGAUUAGAUACCCUUGUAGUC